GAGCACAGAAGACGUCAUAUGGAGAACUGAACAGUGGAUGUUUGCAGGAAGCCUUCAGCUUGUGGUGUGUGCCAAAAGGACUUUUAAAUUC